UACCCCAGAGACUGUUCAGCUUUUGAGUUUCUCAGUUAGACCUCAAAUGGCCUGGAGGUUGACUGCAAGUAACUGAAACUGAGGGAAGCAGAGCCAUGGAUAAGGUGAGACUACUAUAUUUGGGAAUUACGGCAGGGUAGUAAGGAAAUCCAGAAAUGAACUAUGAAGGAGGGUCAUCUGCUCAGUUUAGGGCGGGCAGAGAGAGACAUGGGAGGGCUUCUCCUAGAUUCUCCUAGAAGUGUUACUAGCAUGAGCUGAGAGCGAUGCAUAGGUGAGUGACUCAGAGCAGAGCAGGCAUGGG
rnacentral:lncRNA from 1 species